UCGGGGGGGAAUCUCAGUGUCUGUCCAGCUGUCCCCUCACCUGGGAGCCCCUUUGCCCCCCUACAGCGGCUCCCCAGCAGACGAAACGACUGCCCCCCCCCAGCCAUCUCGCUGCGCUCCAAAUCCAUGACCUCUGAGCUGGAGGAGAUGGUGGAGAAAGUCUCCCCCUGGAAGAAGAGGAGUGAUUACGAGCCGGCGCUGGCCACGGAGAAGAAGAGGACGGUCUAUCAGAUGGCGCUGAGUAAGGGAGGGGA